ensembl:miRNA gga-mir-1617 gga-mir-1617
CCCAACAGCUAGCACUCAGCAGUUCUAAGGCAGCUGAUUUCUCCUUGUGUUUCAGAGGCCUUCAGAUACUGUUUUGUGGCUGGCAUGGG